AAUAGAUACCCUGGUAGUCCACGCCCUAAACGAUGUCUACUAGUUGUCGGGGGGUAACUCCUUCGGUAACGCAGCUAACGCGUGAAGUAGACCGCCUGGGGAGUACGGUCGCAAGAUUAAAACUCAAAGGAAUUGACGGGGACCCGCAUAAGCGGUGGAUGAUGUGGAUUAAUUCGAUGCAACGCGAAAAACCUUACCUACCUUGACAUGCCACUAACGAAGCAGAGAUGCAUUAGGUGCCCGAAAGGGAAAGUGGACACAGGUGCUGCAUGGCUGUCGUCAGCUCGUGUCGUGAGAUGUUGGGUUAAGUCCCGCAACGAGCGCAACCCUUGCCAAUAGUUGCUACGAAAGGGCACUCUAUUGGGACUGCCGGUGACAAACCGGAGGAAGGUGGGGAUGACGUCAAGUCCUCAUGGCCCUUAUGGGUAGGGCUUCACACGUCAUACAAUGGCUGGUACAGAGGGUUGCCAACCCGCGAGGGGGAGCCAAUCCCACAAAACCAGUCGUAGUCCGGAUUGCAGUCUGCAACUCGACUGCA
rnacentral:rRNA from 1 species